rnacentral:rRNA from 1 species
UACGUAGGGGGCAAGCGUUGGUCCGGAUUUAUUGGGCGUAAAGGGUGCGUAGGCGGCGCGGUAAGUCGGGUGUGAAAUCUUGGAGCUUAACUCCGAAACUGCAUUCGAUACUGCCGUGCUUGAGGACUGGAGAGGAGACUGGAAUUACGGUGUAGCGGUGAAAUGCGUAGAUAUCGUAAGGAAGACCAGUGGCGAAGGCGGGUCUCGUGGACAGUUCCUGACGCUGAAGCACGAAGGCCAGGGGAGCAAACGGG